GACGAACGCUGGCGGCGUGCUUAACACAUGCAAGUCGAACGAUGAUGCCCAGCUUGCUGGGUGGAUUAGUGGCGAACGGGUGAGUAACACGUGAGUAACCUGCCCCUGACUCUGGGAUAAGCGUUGGAAACGACGUCUAAUACUGGAUAUGACUGCCGGCCGCAUGGUCUGGUGGUGGAAAGAUUUUUUGGUUGGGGAUGGACUCGCGGCCUAUCAGCUUGUUGGUGAGGUAAUGGCUCACCAAGGCGACGACGGGUAGCCGGCCUGAGAGGGGAACCGGCCACACUGGGACUGAGACACGGCCCAGACUCCUACGGGAGGCAGCAGUGGGGAAUAUUGCACAAUGGGCGCAAGCCUGAUGCAGCGACGCCGCGUGAGGGAUGACGGCCUUCGGGUUGUAAACCUCUUUCAGCACCGACGAAGCGCAAGUGACGGUAGGUGCAGAAGAAGGACCGGCCAACUACGUGCCAGCCGCCGCGGUAA
rnacentral:rRNA from 1 species